GUCCGUCGCCAACCAGUGGAGGAGACACCUGUGCCAAUUAUUUAUGGGGGCCCCAGACAGGGGCAAGAUAGGUGGGCUGGCCCAGAAGCGGGCAGGCAGCAGCCCACUUAUACAAGAGAACAGUUGCGGCGUGCCAUCCAGCUCCAGCGGGUGG